rnacentral:lncRNA from 1 species
AUUGAUACAGUGCUCCUACCAGGUUUUAGUUUCCAGCCAUCAAACCAGAUAUUAAGUGCUCAGUCCAUCACAAAUCAAUGACACAUUGGAGAAAACCAAAGAUUUUUACCAUAUCUAACUAUAUGCAAGUCAUCUACCGGCGCUUGAUAUGGACACCAUAUGUAAUCGUCCCUACAACGAUUUCUGCAGCAACAGAUGGAGCAAAUCGUGCUGUUAUCGCUGGAGGGAAUGUUUGUAAUUCUAGGUUCAAAAGAUGUUUUGAAGAUGGACAUCCUUCUGGAUGGGAUAAGAAAUAUUUCAUCUAGUUAGUACCAUGCAUUUGAUUAUUGAAAUUGAUGUAUUUUUCCUUUUCUAAUUUAUCUAACUUAAAUCAGGUAUGUAUGGAUAGUACUUUCAAAAGUGAUGGUGGUCACUUCAUACAUUGCAAUUCACUAUAUGCAUAUAAAAG